GGAGGAAAGUAGGGGAUCGCAAGACCUUGCGCUUUUGGAGCGGCCGAUGUCUGAUUAGCUAGUUGGUGGGGUAAAGGCUUACCAAGGCAACGAUCAGUAGUUGGUCUGAGAGGACGACCAGCCACACUGGGACUGAGACACGGCCCAGACUCCUACGGGAGGCAGCAGUGGGGAAUUUUGGACAAUGGGCGAAAGCCUGAUCCAGCCAUGCCGCGUGAGUGAAGAAGGCCUUCGGGUUGUAAAGCUCUUUCAGUCGAGAAGAAAAAAUUGCGACUAAUAAUCGCAAUUCAUGACGGUAUCGACAGAAGAAGCACCGGCUAACUACGUGCCAGCAGCCGCGGUAAUACGUAGGGUGCAAGCGUUAAUCGGAAUUACUGGGCGUAAAGGGUGCGCAGGCGGCCUUGUAAGUCAGAUGUGAAAUCCCCGGGCUUAACCUGGGAAUUGCGUUUGAAACUACAAAGCUAGA
rnacentral:rRNA from 1 species